GAAUCAACGCUGGCGGCGUGCCUAACACAUGCAAGUCGAACGCGAAAGUCCCGCAAGGGAUCAGUAGAGUGGCAAACGGGUGAGUAACACGUGGGUGACCUGCCUUCGAGUGGGGAUAACGUCCCGAAAGGGACGCUAAUACCGCAUGACAUCCUGCUCUUGAAACGAGUGGAGAUCAAAGCUGGGGAUCGCAAGACCUAGCGCUCAAAGAGGGGCCCGCGCCUGAUUAGCUAGUUGGUGGGGUAACGGCUCACCAAGGCAACGAUCAGUAUCCGGCCUGAGAGGGCGGACGGACACACUGGGACUGAGACACGGCCAGACUCCUACGGAGGCAGCAGUGGGAAUUGUUCGCAAUGGGCNCAAGCCUGACGACGCAACGCCGCGUGGAGGAUGAAGACC
rnacentral:rRNA from 1 species